rnacentral:lncRNA from 1 species
ACGAAUUUUGGUCCCUAAGAGACCUCAUGAUGCAGAUGUAUGUAUGAAAAAGGUAAUACUUUGUGGGGAUAUAUGUCCACAAAGGAAAAAGAAAUCAGGAGAGUGAAAAUCCAUAUGAGUAGUACACUGAUAAUUGGGACAGAGACUCUGGGGACUUAGCUUGGGAAUAAAGGGGAUUGAAAUGUGUGAGCAGGUCACGACUUAAAACUCG